CAGGCCCGGGUGCGUAACGCGUGGGAAUCUGCCCUUGGGUUCGGAAUAACCGUUGGAAACGACGGCUAAUACCGGAUGAUGUCGAUAAGACCAAAGAUUUAUCGCCCAGGGAUGAGCCCGCGUAGGAUUAGCUAGUUGGUGGGGUAAAGGCCUACCAAGGCGACGAUCCUUAGCUGGUCUGAGAGGAUGAUCAGCCACACUGGGACUGAGACACGGCCCAGACUCCUACGGGAGGCAGCAGUGGGGAAUAUUGGACAAUGGGGGAAACCCUGAUCCAGCAAUGCCGCGUGAGUGAUGAAGGCCUUAGGGUUGUAAAGCUCUUUUACCCGGGAUGAUAAUGACAGUACCGGGAGAAUAAGCUCCGGCUAACUCCGUGCCAGCAGCCGCGGUAAU
rnacentral:rRNA from 1 species